rnacentral:rRNA from 1 species
UACGUAGGGGGCAAGCGUUGUCCGGAAUCAUUGGGCGUAAAGAGCUCGUAGGCGGUCUGUUGCGUCGACUGUGAAAACCCGGGGCUCAACCCCGGGCCUGCAGUCGAUACGGGCAGACUAGAGUUCGGUAGGGGAGACUGGAAUUCCUGGUGUAGCGGUGAAAUGCGCAGAUAUCAGGAGGAACACCGGUGGCGAAGGCGGGUCUCUGGGCCGAAACUGACGCUGAGGAGCGAAAGCGUGGGGAGCGAACAGG